AUUGAACGCUGGCGGCAGGCUUAACACAUGCAAGUCGAGCGGGGGAAGGUAGCUUGCUACUGGACCUAGCGGCGGACGGGUGAGUAAUGCUUAGGAAUCUGCCUAUUAGUGGGGGACAACAUCUCGAAAGGGAUGCUAAUACCGCAUACGUCCUACGGGAGAAAGCAGGGGAUCUUCGGACCUUGCGCUAAUAGAUGAGCCUAAGUCGGAUUAGCUAGUUGGUGGGGUAAAGGCCUACCAAGGCGACGAUCUGUAGCGGGUCUGAGAGGACGAUCCGCCACACUGGGACUGAGACACGGCCCAGACUCCUACGGGAGGCAGCAGUGGGGAAUAUUGGACAAUGGGGGGAACCCUGAUCCAGCCAUGCCGCGUGUGUGAAGAAGGCCUUAUGGUUGUAAAGCACUUUAAGCGAGGAGGAGGCUACUUUAGUUAAUACCUAGAGAUAGUGGACGUUACUCGCAGAAUAAGCACUGGCUAACUCUGUGCCAGCAGCCGCAGUAA
rnacentral:rRNA from 1 species